ACGAAGGGGGCUAGCGUUGCUCGGAAUCACUGGGCGUAAAGCGCACGUAGGCGGACUCUUAAGUCGGUGGUGAAAUCCUGGAGCUCAACUCCAGAACUGCCUUCGAUACUGAGAGUCUCGAGUCCGGGAGAGGUGAGUGGAACUGCGAGUGUAGAGGUGAAAUUCGUAGAUAUUCGCAAGAACACCAGUGGCGAAGGCGGCUCACUGGCCCGGUACUGACGCUGAGGUGCGAAAGCGUGGGGAGCAAACAGG
rnacentral:rRNA from 1 species